ACUUAUUUAAUAUAAAAAGUAUAAUUAACUUCCAAUUAAUAAGUCUUAUAUUUAAGAAUAAGUA
rnacentral:tRNA from 1 species